UCCGAUUCCAGUCUAUGGGGUAUCCAAAACCGAAACCGGAAUCCGGAACCGGAUGGUAAUUACUUAAAAAAAAAAGGGGUAAAGUUACCCUCAAUGUGACAAUAUCAGUCGAGAUUGGGAAGACAUGAAGGAACAAGUUCCUCUUCGUCGCUCGCCUUUCGUCUCCGACUCUCCGGCCUCCGACUCUCCUUGAAUCUCUCUUUACCGAACUCAGCGGCACCACGACGGAGAUUAUGAUGGAUUAAUGUGUGGAGCAACUACAAGCGGUGAGGAAGAUGAGAAUGGCAGUGCCAGUGAAGAAGCCACUCCAGUGGAAGCAUAGAAGCACACCAUGCUGGAGUGCUGGAAUUAAAUUACAAAAUUUUGGCACAUUCGAGUGGGAGAUCAAGUGAGGAUAUUAGGAGUGUGAUUUGUCUGCUUUUGGAUAGAUAAAUUUUUUAGUUCGUGGACCGUAUUACCAUUAUGGACGUAUUGUGAGGAAAUAUUACAUUUUGUUAUGUGAGAUCGUAUUAUGGAUGGAUUGAUGAGACAUAUUAUUUUUUAUUGUUGUGGAUUAAUCUAAAUUUAUGUCGAUAUUAUAUUUGCCGUGAUUA